AGAAAUUUGUGAACAUCCUGUAACUCCUCCAUGAUGACAUGAUGGCAACAGUCUUGGACAGCAAUGGCUUCCAAAGUGACCCAUUUAAGGUAUAAUCAGGGGUCAAACAGGGAUGUGUUAUUGUCCCAACCUUAAUCUCGAUCUUCAUUACUAUGAUAUUUCACCUUGUUGAUGGAAAGCAUCCCACUGGCAUGAAAACUACCUAUUGGAGAGAUGGCAAGUUAUUUAACCCCAACAGACUGAAAGCCAAAACCAAGGUCACAACAACAAGACCUGGGUCAUGACUUGAAAUGCACUUUUUUAAAUGGGUGUUUAAAUGGAUGUUUUAAUUAAUGUUUAAUUUGUUUUAAUUGUAAUUGUUUUGAAUAUUAUGUUUUCUAGCAUCUAAUGAUUGCUGAUUGUGAGGCUGCCCUGCAUCCCCUGUCAGGGGUGAGAAGGAUGGGAUAUAAAUGUCUGAAAUAAAUAAAUACAGAACUUCAAUAUGCUGAUGAUAAUGUGGUCUGUGCUCAUUCAGAAGAAGACCUGCAAGCCACUCUAAACAUCUUUGUAAAAGCCUAUGAAAAACUUGGUCUCUCACUAAACAUUGAGAAAACCAAAGUGCUCUUUCAGCAGGCACCAGCCAAUCCCUCUACAAUGCCAGAAAUAUAGCUUAAUGGUGUAAUGUCAGAAAAUGUUGACUAUCUCCACUACCUUGGCAGCCACCUAUCCACAAAAGUCAACAUUGGCACUGAAAUACAACAUCAUUUGAGCUCUGCGAGUGCAGCAUUUUUCCUAAUGAAGCAGAGAGUGUGUGAGGAUCAGGACAUUUGUAGGGAGGCAAAAAUGCUUUUUUAUAAGCCAUUGUCUUCCCCAUCGUGUUAUACGCUUGUGAAACAUGGACCAUUUACAGAUGUCACACUUAACUUCUGGAAAAAUUCCAUCAGUGUUGCCUCAAAAAAAAAAAAUCCUGCAAAUCUCUUGGGAAGACAGGUGGACAAAUGUCAGCAUUCUGGAAGAAGCAAAGACCACCAGCACUGAACUGAUAAUCCUCCACCAUCAACUUCGAUGGACUGGCCACGUUGUCUGAAUGCCUGAUCACCACCACCCAAAGCAGUUACUAAACUCCCAACUCAAGAAUGAAAAAUGAAAUGUUGUUGGACAGGAAAAGAGAUUUUAAAAUGAGUUAUGGAAUUUGAAGAGACAUGAAUGGAGGGUGAAAGGGAGAAAUGCAUUAAGAGGAAGGUAUGUCAAACCAACCCUGAAUGGGACUGCCUCCAUCUAGAAAUCACUGUGUAAGAACAUGCAGAUCAAGAAUAGGUCUUUACAGUCACCUGUGGAACCACCACCAAGACACUAGACUUGGAAAACAAUCAUACUCGGACAAGAGUAAUCACCGAUGAUGUGGUCAGUGUAGAUUAGUCCUUUUACUGAGCAUUACUAUCUUCUUCAGUUAGUCAUACUGUCAUGAUAUGUCAAAAAUAUGACAGACUCGGUUUAAUCAUUUGCUUUCUUAUUUGCUUGAUUUGCUACUGGAUCUCCUUUCUUUCUUUCUUUCUUUCUUUCUUUCUUUCUUUCUUUCUUUCUUUCUUUCUUUCUUUCUUUCUUUCUUUCUUUCUUCUUUUGGCACCUAUAGAACUAUAUUUAACUACAUUUUAUCAGCUUUUUCAGUGUCAAGCUUCCAUAUACAUACAUAGACAUUGGGAAUAUUACAGCAUAGAUGACCCUAACCAGUAAAUAGGUGUUAUUUCACAUUUAUUCAUCUAGUUUCUAAGAUUGCUCUCUUGAAGGUAAAAAGUCAAUCAGGGAAGAACAAGAGGCAAACCAACAAUCCACUGGGAAAUACAAUUUUGUGACUUUCACAGCUGAAUUAUACAAAAGCAAAAUCACCACCCCCAGCCUCUCAAACACCACUUUCCCAUCCUCAGCAGAUGGGGAAAAUGCAUAGCGCUCGGAAGGCAAGUGUGUUCUGCACUUUAAUUAGCGUGUAGCAAAAGGAUCCCCCACAGCAAGAGCUUUUCAAUGGCUAAUGAAAAGAGGAGUCAGUCACACUGUUCCAUGGCUCCAAUUAGCCCCUCCAAGUAAACAAGGGUCCAUUUCCAGCUGCAGGCUUUCCAUAUGCCGAGUGGAAGAAGAUGACAAAGUGAUAAUGAAACUCGGAGCACAUAUCAAUAAACCAGAAAGUCUAGUGCUCAUUUUCCCCAUCACACCUAGUGUCAUUUUGCAUUCAAGAGAGAAGAAACUAAAUGUCAGGCAACAAAUUAAUCAACAACCCAGAAAACUGAGAUAAGUUACAAGGUCUAUUUGUGUAGGAUGCAAUCCAUAAGGUGGAUUUGAGUUUAUUGCCCAAUGAAGAGACAGGCAGGAAUAAUAAUAAUUAAAAAAAACAGAAGAUAAAUCAUGGAUGGAUGGAUGGAUGGAUGGAUGGACAGAUAAACAUAUAGAUUUAAGUUAUUUGUUCACCAUUUCUGAAACAUUCCUGAGGAGAGAUAUAGUGAGUAAAAACAAUAAAAAGUAUAAAUACAUGACUUAAAACAGUUAAAAACAAGCCAAAACUCUUAUUUUAAAGUAUGUGUCAGAGCAUUAGGAAGCAUGUUGUCCUACAGCUUCUUCAUGAUGUUAAAUGACAUGGACCAACACACAUUUUUGUGCCUCAAAUGUUAGACCUGUUUUUGGGUAUAUUUGACCUGCUGAUUCCAAAAAUUGCAGUUUCCUCCUAUCAGCUCUAGUUUUUGUGAUACACAGCAUAUUCAAUACCCCAGUUGCCAUUGCUAAUGCCAUCUGCCCACACAUAGAACCAUAACCAUAUUUAAGAAACUAGAGCUGAUGCAAUCUAUCCAAUGCAGUUUUCUGAAUCAGUACCCCAAACACACUUGGGAACAGACCUAAAAACGAAGACACCAAGCAUUGCUUUUGUUGGGCUGUGUAAUCACUAGUCAAUAGGUAGCUCUACACUGUAGAGUUAAAGAACAUUUGAAUGAAAUUGUAACGACAACAUAAAAACUCACUUUGAGGAUGGAAACUGCGGGGAAGUUAAUGCGCCCCAUGGGCUUCACCAGCCCAAGAGCACAGGGAAGUAUCUUGCUUUCCAGCCAUAUACAAACCAGAAAUGACACAAUUGAUUUUCUCAUGACUAUUUGGCUUAGCUGGCAUAUAAAAACUUAAGUGUUGAGGGGAUUGGGGGAAGUUUAGGAGGUGUAGGAGGGAGGCUUUGCAGAUCUUAACUAAUGUGAAUGUAGAUCUCAUGUAAAAUUCACCCCAGAAUCAUGAUUCCAGCUACGCAGUUGAAUAUCACUGGAUAGUAUCUAACCAUUCAUCAGUGUCUUCACGGUACCAUUUUGUUCACUGGGAUUUCAGAAACAGCCACUGUAUGUUCCUCAAUGUUCAAAGAGAUAAUGUUGUCAAUAGUUGUUUGUUGCACAACAUCAGCCUUCAGCAAAAGGAUAGUAUAGAUUAGCAACCAUGUAACUACACAAGUAUAGAUUUAUAGUAUGCAUGGGAUAGGAUCUUGUCUCAAGUUUUAUGAUUUGGGAUUUCAUAGAAUCACAGAAUCAUAGAGUCAUAGAGUUGGAAGAGACCUCAUGGGCCAUUCAGCCUGCCAAGAAGCAGAAAAGCAAAAAACAAAAACAAAAAAACCCCCUGAUUUUAAAAAAAUCAAAUUCACCAUAUGUUAAUUAUUCAGUCACGAAGCAGAAUUACAAAACAAUGCAGCACAAAUCAGCAGAUGGCACUGUUUGCCUCACAUUUUUGAUUCAUAAACUUACAUAUUACAGAGAAGUGGGUCAAGGAAGCAAAGACUAGCUCUGAGGCUGUGUCUGCACAAACACCCUCUCUAUUCACUGUUUAAGGCUGUGCUUCUUAAAGCAUUGUUGCUGUCAAAGCAGUGUAAGCCUAGAGCUUUGUGCUUUCUUUCUUUCACAGAUUGGGUCUGUCCUCUCACAGCAAAAACCUUGUUCUUCCCAUUCAGAAUAGGCGUUGCUAACUUCUGUCAGGAAUGCCUGCAUUUAUUAACUUAAGGAGUUGCUGUUGUUGUGCAUGGUAGACCUCUUGGGAACCCAUUUUAGAUUAAUAUGGAAACAAUUGAAAAUCUCUGUUUUGGCUGGCCUGUAAUCGGGAAAGACUAGAUCAGUAAUUUGAAGCAAACUACAAGGAGCUCAGCAAAAAUACUCUAUCACAAUCCUUACCAGCUCCCUCAGCUUCUAUGCAAAACCCCCAAAUUCUCCCUUCCCAUUUACUUUGCAAAUGGUACCAAUGACAAGGCUUGGAUGUAUUAGUCAAGUGGUGGGUUGGUUGAUAUGUAUGUUGACCCCUCUAGGUAAUGUGCCUUCAAGUCAUUUCCAACUUUUGGUGAUCCUAAGGUGAGGUUAUCACAGGGCUUUCUGGGGCUGAGAUUGUAACUUGCCCAAGGUUACCCAGUGGAUUUUCAUGGCUGAGUGGGAAUUUGAACAUGGUCUCUAGAGUUAUAGUCUUACACUCAGACUACUAUACCGCAAUCUAAUUGGAGUACUGCUCCAAAGUAAAACAUCCCAGGGGAUGUUGCAAAAACUUUUCAGGAGAAUGAUCUCUCCCAAGAUGUGUCAGGGAUAUGCAUUGCGUAACUCAGAGCUGUGAAGAAGAAGGAAGGCAUCCAGGAAAAUCUUCCUCAGGUCUUCAUGAACAUCUCCAAACUGGUUGCCACCAGCUUGAAAGUCUGAUGAAGGAAAGUAGAUACGAAGAUGGUGAAUAGCACUUUGAAGAAUACAAUGUCUUUCAGAGACUGCUCGACAACCCUUAUUGAGAUAAGCUUCGAGGAAAAAAAACAGGAGAGGAAAGGGCAGAGGGGAGUCAGCAAAUGCAGCUGCAUCAUGGAACAUGAUGGAAAAAGAAGACACCGGAGAGGGCUUGGAUGGAAAUGAACAGUUAAAUAUUUUAAGCAGCAACCUAUUAUGCUCUUAGACCCAGGCCUAGGGAAUCACACUUUAUUUCUGCUCCUCUGAUCAGUGGCACAAUCUAAAUGUGGGCUUUCAUGUGCUCUUUUCACCACUCGUUAUACAACACUGUAAAUCUAGAAUUUGAAAGAUCGACAUGCUGAAUGGUGUUAAGGAACCAAAUUUAAGAAACACUGUCAGGGAUAUGAAUUCUGACAAUCUAGUUGUCCCCCUACUAGUACAUUAGUGACUACUGAUCAGUUUGUGAAUUGUGAUCACUACAACACACAUGCACACAGUAUUUACAUACAUUAUUCCCAUCCCCAAUGACAGAUUCUUUAUAGAGGCAAAAAUGGCCAUCCCAAUUGUAUUUGUUUUUGCUGUUCAUUCAUAGAAUCAUAGAGCUGGAAGAGACCUUGUGGGCCAUCCAGUCCGACCCUCUGCCAAGAAGCAGGAAAACUGCAUUCAAAGCACCCCUGAUAGAUGGCCAUCCAGCCUCUGCUUAAAAGCCUUCCAAAAAGGAGCCUCCACCACAUUCCUUUGAAUGCAUUCAUGAUUGGGAUUAUCUCUCUCUGUGUUUCUCUCUCUCAUAUGUCUUGUAAAUAUAUAGAUUUCUCAAGCCAGGUGGACUUUGCCUGUAGAAAAGCCUCCAAUUGAUCAUUUCAGCAAAGUUCUUUGAAAAACACCAAAAUACUUUGCAUUAUCUACAAACAGGCCACUUGUAGUCUGCAGUCUGUUCUGUGCUAGAACUGUUUGCAUAGCUAUUUAUUGGUUUGCUAGCAUUAACAUUUAUCUUCUAACAGUAAGGGGUCUUAGCGUAUGUCUUCAUUGGCUAGAAACAUAAAAUUGAUCUGGAGUGGACUACUCUGGAUCAACAUCACUGGAGCUGCACUGUAUGCCUCUGAGCCAGUUUGAAAUCUGAAUGGCAGCUGCACUACAUGGUGCUAAGCCUGGCUUGUGGUUGGAUUGGAUUGCAACUACAUUGCUGAGCAACAUCAGGGAUAUUUAUUUAUUUACAGUAUUUAUAUUCCGCCCUUCUCACCCCGAAGGGAACUCAGGGCGGAUCACAAUGUACAUGACAAACAUUCAAUGCUAUUAGACAAACAACACACAAACAGACACAGAGGCUAUUUAACUUUCCAGCUUCUGGCUUUGUGAGAGUAUGCUCAAUUCUGGCCACAGGAGGAACUGCUGCUUAAUUAUCCACUGUGACAAUGAGUCCUUUUGAUGGAGUACUUCCUCAUCUGGCAUGCACGCUGCUGGAUGUUUUUAUGGUGUUGUAAAUUAGUUAAAUUAGCCUCCCCGCUAAUUUAAUUUGGAAUGAAUUACUCUCACUUAGUAUGUAUUUAUUUGACAUUAGGUUAACCACUGACCCUACUGUGACCGUACUCCUAUCUGGACAGUCUGCUACUUCUCAAGAAAUGGACCAAUGAACUUGAUCAGAUGAUUAGCUUGUGCCUGCCUUCUUUUAGUGCAGGACAGACAGAAAAUGGAGGACCUUGUGUGGCUAUAUAUAGACCAAACUUUGCAAAAAGACACGUGAUCCGCUUCCUUCUUCUGUAUGGCUAUGGCUAGGCUAAUGAGGGGAAAAAACUGUGUGCAGCUGCUCUUGUCAGUUAUCAUUAAUUAAUUAUGCCAUUCCCCACCCUCAGGGCAGCAGAGUACAAUAGCACAUUGCUAUUAUUAUCACAAAAAAUAUAGUUCGAAUCAACAGUUUUUCCCCAAAGUUUUAGCCAAGAGAUUAGGCUGCUCGUUUUUCAUUCCAGUAAGGUUCCGAAAGGGUCCUUCCCAGUCUAUUUUCAGUGGCUCGGCUGCUGAAUCAUUGAAAUUAUCUGAAGUCUGAAUCGCCCAAUGGAAUUUUGCACACCCCUAGUGCCUACCCCUUUCCACAAGCUACCGGAGUCCAGGGAAAGUGACAUGGCAGUGUAAACACAGACAGCUCCUUUUUGAAUAGGAAACCACACAGCUGCUUUCACAUCCAAGAAGUUGCAGUUUACUUUAGAUUUUUGGUGAAAAAUUGGAGCAACCUGCAAUUUCUGUCAUCACAGUUUUAAGGCCACCUUAGCCCCCUGUUCAGGGUUUUAUUAGCCCAAAUCAGUUCUGCAGCCACUACAGAACUGAUUCCCCUCUGCCUCUUUGUGGUAAUGGUGUCAGUGAGGAUGCAGCCUAAUUUUCCAGUGCUAAAUCAAGGCUAGGAUCUUGUUAGUCACAUAAACAAGUUUAGCUGAAAUUUGACAUAUGUACUAAGCUCUUCUGGUCAUCACUGAACAAUUAUUUGACAAUUCUCUGUCAACUAAGACAAUAAGAAUUUUAAUCAAUUUUUGGAAUUAAAAUAGCCUCCAUCUGAA